CUCAUGUGACGCGGUAACAGCUGCGGCCUGAGUCACUGGGCCCGGCGCGGGGUGGGCCGAGCCCCCCGCCCGGCCAGGGCCACGUGGCCCCUACCCGGAAGAAGGCGCCCACCCCCGCAAAGGGAAAGCCGCAAGGGCAAGACCUCGGGGCGCCUGGGGCCCCCCUCUGGCGCUAUACCUCCGUGCCAACUCGGGGUAGGAGAGCGGGGCGGAGCGCAGCCUGGGUCACUCUGGUUCAGAGAAGCGGACGAGGGAUCCUAGUCUGAGAAAAGGGGAGGAAGCCCUUCCCCGAAGCCACGCUACCCAGUCAAUCAAGACACGUCCGCGUCGGGUCCCGCCCUCUGGGGGAGGAUUGACAAGGUCUGUGCUUCCAGCCUCCCAGACAGCUCCUGCAUCCGUCUGUGAUAGCGAGGGCUUGGGGGAAGACACGAAGGCAGGAGAGGCUUACAUCCUCUGGAUUUCCCCGUCUUAUCCCAGAAGACAAAGCCAGGUGAGGGCUGGAAGCGGGCUAGGGGGAUCAAGCUGCCUCCCUCCCUUGUGUGCCAGGGGUGGUCCCCAGAAGGAGCUGAUCUGAACAGGCCGGAGAGUAGGACCGGCCGUCACACCCCCACACCUCCAGCCUCGGCCCCACUCCUUGGGCUCUUAAGGUCCUGCCUCAAGAACCACUUCCUGAGUCUUAGUGUAUGUGUGUACACAAAGAAUGAAAGAAGUCUCUAGAGCUAAAGGAAGGAGAUCCGGGCUGGGCUGAGAAGCAUCUUCCAGGAUCACGGCCUUCCCGCGGGACACACCAAGCCCAUUCCGGAUCUUGCUCUUCCUGACCAUGGCUGGCAGGCUGUGGAGGAGGAGCGGAGAGCAGAAGAAAGGAGUAUUCAUCAGGUUCCUUAUUGUGCUGCCACUAGAUGCCAGGCAUGUGCUAGGCUUGGGGGCUGCAAGGAGAGGAAGACAGCGGCCCUGCCCUCUGCUAGCAGGCAGAACCGAGUUCUGGCCACACUGUGAAGAAAGGCAGAAGCCUGCGGUGGCAGCUGGUUAAGCUCAGAGGGAGGGAAAGGGAGAGGAGAAUGGAUUUCACGGAGCAGAAGGAUGUGCUCAAGGUGACCUUGGAGAAUAAAGGGGAGAGCUCCAGGGACAGAGAAGCAGUCGACUGUGGAAAAAAAAGGAGCAUUUUGUAAAGUACAUGGCAGGUUGGGGUUGGCUGGCUCAAAGGGCUUGGGACGGAUGUGGUGAGAUGGGCUGAAGGUGGUCUGAAGAUCAAGAUUGAGAGACUAGAUACAUAACAACCAACUGCAAUGUUUGGUCCUUCAUUGAAUGGUUGAACAAACCAGCUGUGAAAGACAUUUUGGGACAUACAGACAUGGACUGAGAAUUAGACAUAAGAAAAUUAUUUUGUUAACUGUUAUCAUGGUUAACAAAACGGUCAUAUAAUAUGAUUAUGUAGAGAAGUUACUCUAGUUUUUCCUCUUUUUUUUUCUUUAUUCUCCUAUCAGCCAAUGCAUUUGUUACAGGAAAGGGGUCCCAAUCCAGACCACAAGAGAGGGUUCUUGGAUCUCAUGCAAGAAAGAUUCAGGGCGAGUCGCAGUGCAAAGUAUAAGCAAGUUUAUUAAGAAAGUAAAGUGGUGAAACAACAGCUGCUCCAUAGACAGAGUAGGAUGUUCCCCAAAGUAAGAGGAGGGGCUAGGCGCAGUGGCUCACCACACCUGUAAUCCCAGCAUUUUGGGAGGCCUAGGCAGGUGGAUCACCUGAGGUCAGGAGUUCGAGACCAGCCUGGCCAACACGGUGAAACCCCGUCUCUACUAAAAAUACAAAAAGUAGCUGGGCACAAUGAUGUGUGCCUGUAGUCCCAGCUACUCAGGAGGCUGAGGCAGGAGAAUCACUUGAACCCAGGAGGCAGAGGUUGCAGUGAGCAGAGAUCGUGUUGCUGCAUGCCAUCCUGGGCAACAAGAGUGAAACUCCGUCUCUCUUUUUUUUUUUUUUUUUUUUGAGACGGAGUCUCGCUCUGUCACCAGGGUGGAGUGCAGUGGUGCCAUCUUGGCUCACUGCAACCUCCGCCUCCCGUGUUCAAGUGAUUCUCCUGCCUCAGCCUCCCAAGUAGCUGGGACUACAGGCACGCACCACUACGCCCAGCUAAUUUUUGUGUUUUUAGUAGAGAUGGGGUUUCACCAUAUUGGCCAGGAUGGUCUCCAUCUAUUGACCUCGUGAUCCGCCCCCUCAGCCUUCCAAAGUGCUGGGAUUACAGGCGUGAGCCACUGUGCCCGGCAAAACUCUGUCUCAAAAAAAAAAAGUAAGAGGAGGAACACAUUCACCCUCGGUAUAAUGCUUGUAUAUAUGGAGAGAUGUGCUCUGCUACAAAAGUUUGUGAUAAAGGAUUAAUUUUCUUAAUUACUGUAUUUUGUAAGAAUCGAUAUUAUCUUUUUUAUUAUUAUUAAUUUGUUUCCUUAACCAUAAACAUCUAGGUUUUUUGUUUUUGUUUUUGUUUUUGAGAUGGAGUUUUGCUCUUGUUGCCCAGGCUGGAGUGCAGUGGCACAACUCAC
rnacentral:lncRNA from 1 species